GAGUUUGAUCCUGGCUCAGAUUGAACGCUGGCGGCAUGCCUAACACAUGCAAGUCGAACGGCAGCACUGGGAGCUUGCUCCCUGGUGGCGAGUGGCGGACGGGUGAGUAACGCGUAGGAAUCUGCCUCAUAGCGGGGGACGAACUCGGGAAACGUCGAGCUAAUACCGCAUACUACUCGAGAGAGGAAAGCAGGGGACCGUUCGGGCCGUUGCACUAUGAGAUGAGCCUGCGUUGGA
rnacentral:rRNA from 1 species